rnacentral:rRNA from 1 species
AACGAACGCUGGCGGCAGGCUUAACACAUGUAAGUCGAGCGGAGAUGAGGUGCUUGCACCUUAUCUUAGCGGCGGACGGGUGAGUAAUGCUUAGGAAUCUGCCUAUUAGUGGGGGACAACAUUCCGAAAGGAAUGCUAAUACCGCAUACGUCCUACGGGAGAAAGCAGGGGAUCUUCGGACCUUGCGCUACUAGAUGAGCCUAAGUCGGAUUAGCUAGUUGGUGGGGUAAAGGCCUACCAAGGCGACGAUCUGUAGCGGGUCUGAGAGGAUGAUCCGCAACACUGGGACUGAGACACGGCCCAGACUCCUACGGGAGGCAGCAGUGGGGAAUAUUGGACAAUGGGGGAAACCCUGAUCCAGCCAUGCCGCGUGUGUGAAGAAGGCCUUAUGGUUGUAAAGCACUUUAAGCGAGGAGGAGGCUACUGAGACUAAUACUCUUGGAUAGUGGACGUUACUCGCAGAAUAAGCACCGGCUAACUCUGUGCCAGCCGCCGCAGUAA